GGCGGCGUGCCUAACACAUGCAAGUCGUACGAGAAAGCCGGCUUCGGCUGGUGAGUAAAGUGGCGCACGGGUGAGUAACGCGUGGAUAAUCUGCCCUUAAGUGUGGAAUAACGUACCGAAAGGUGCGCUAAUACCGCAUAAUGCCUGGCAACACAAGUUGUCCGGCCAAAGAAGGCCUCUGUUUACAAGCUUUUGCUCAAGGAUGAGUCCGCGUACCAUUAGCUAGUUGGUGGGGUAACGGCCUACCAAGGCUACGAUGGUUAGCUGGUCUGAGAGGAUGAUCAGCCACACUGGAACUGAGACACGGUCCAGACUCCUACGGGAGGCAGCAGUGAGGAAUAUUGCGCAAUGGGGGCAACCCUGACGCAGCAACGCCGCGUGAGUGAGGAAGGUUUUCGGACUGUAAAGCUCUGUCGAGCGGGAAGAAAUGUACCAUGGCUAAUAUCCAUGAUAUUUGACGGUACCGCUAGAGGAAGCACCGGCUAACUCCGUG
rnacentral:rRNA from 1 species